GCCUUCGUGCUCAGUAGACCC
rnacentral:miRNA from 1 species